UGCAAGUCGAACGGCAGCACAGUGGUAGCAAUACCAUGGGUGGCGAGUGGCGGACGGGUGAGGAAUACAUCGGAAUCUACUUUUUCGUGGGGGAUAACGUAGGGAAACUUACGCUAAUACCGCAUACGACCUCCGGGUGAAAGCAGGGGACCUUCGGGCCUUGCGCGAUUAAAUGAGCCGAUGUCGGAUUAGCUAGUUGGCGGGGUAAAGGCCCACCAAGGCGACGAUCCGUAGCUGGUCUGAGAGGAUGAUCAGCCACACUGGAACUGAGACACGGUCCAGACUCCUACGGGAGGCAGCAGUGGGGAAUAUUGGACAAUGGGCGCAAGCCUGAUCCAGCCAUGCCGCGUGGGUGAAGAAGGCCUUCGGGUUGUAAAGCCCUUUUGUUGGGAAAGAAAAGCAGUCGGCCAAUACCCGAUUGUUCUGACGGUACCCAAAGAAUAAGCACCGGCUAACUUCGUGCCAGCAGCCGCGGUAAUACGAAGGGUGCAAGCGUUACUCGGAAUUACUGGGCGUAAAGCGUGCGUAGGUGGUGGUUUAAGUCCGUUGUGAAAGCCCUGGGCUCAACCUGGGAAUUGCAGUGGAUACUGGGUCACUAGA
rnacentral:rRNA from 1 species